UGGACCAAUUAUGGGAACUGGUGAUAUUAUUAAUUGUAAAUGAUGAAUGUUCCAUGACUCUGAGGUCCAA
ensembl:snoRNA